rnacentral:lncRNA from 1 species
GAAGAGUUUAAGACCAGCCUGGGCAGAAUAGCAAGAUCCGGUCUCUACAAAAAGUUUAAAAAAAAAAAAAUUAGCCAGAUACGGUGUCACACACCUGUAGUCCCAGCUACUCAGGAAGCUGAGGCAAGAGGAUCACUUGAGCCUAGGAGUUCGAGGCUGCAGUGAGCUAUGAUUUUGCCACUUCACUCCUGCCUGGGCUACAAAGCAAGACCCUGUCUCAAAAAAUAAAUAAAUAAAAUAAAAUAAAGUGAGGCACAAAGAGAUUACAGAACCAACCCAAGAGCACACAUACACCUAGAGAGAAGGCAAAUCUGACCCUUAAACACAAGCUUGUCUGUGUGGGCUGCCGCAUCUCCUGGGGUUCUGCUGCCAUAGGACCUGGCAAAGCAGAGAUUCACGUUUUCCAGCUACAGUCUUAAGUUCAUCUAGAAAACAACCCUGCCCAGAGAACUGUGCUGGACCUCCAACAUCUGUGGUUCAAGAAGGCAACGCUACAGGGAAAGACUGGCAGAGUGGAGGCUCCAUGUCCUUUCCACAGGUAGGAGAAAUGUGCACAGUUGAGGAAAGACUGACCCUCAGAGUGGUGGGCCCAGGCAGGUGGGCCUGGAACUGCUGGCCACAGGGAGCUACAGCAGGUCAGAGAGAGGGGAAGGGCCCACUAUGACCCAGCGCUUAAAUAACAAUGGGUUUCUGGGAUUGGAGCUGCAGAGCCAGGAGCCCCAGUGCCCUUUCCUCCUCCCACCGCGCACCAAAACAUGGGGUCCAAGAUCUUCUGUUGUUGCCGCAAGACCAGCGAGGGGUCUUCCACCACUGUUGGCUUCCACAAUCCAAGAAUGUUCGAACAGCAUCAUCCACGGUCCUUCAUGCUGUACCAAAAAGACAUCCACGCCUCCCCUAUGACAACCGCAUGAUGCUCAAGGCGUGCAUCCUUAGGAGGCCAUGAGCAUUCUAGCCGGCGGCACCCACGUGGUCCCUGCGGCUGCACAGCUGCUGGGCUUCCAUGAGGAAGAGGGCAGUGGACAAGAGUCAUGAAGACUGAUUCAGAAACUCCCCUGCAGGAGGAGAAGACGUCUGAGCCAUCCCUGUGCCACCACCAAGAGUCACUCCAGCUUCUGAAAAAGCCACCGUGGGGGGGAGCCGCCUCCAAUUAAAGUCCUUGGUCACAUCAGAGGAAGUGUCUCUCCUCCUUCCCCCUUUGCCAGCCCUACCUCUGAGAUUCCCAAAAACAUGGAGCAAUUAGACCCUGGCACCUCUUGGAAAGAAAUGUGGUUUUGUCAUUUUAACGCAUUAACACAUUUGUUUCAGUCACUCCUAACCAACCUAACAGGGAAGUGCUAUAUUAGGAGAGGCCAGUUUGUAUAACAGGCCACUGUCAUAAACGUCCAGAGCUUCAGGGCACAAUUCUGCUUGCCUACUGUGCGACUCCAUUUGACGCUCAGGGCCAUAGGGAACAGCAGGGCAUGUUGUGAAAAACUCUACAAACAGCAGCCCUAGAGUUAUGCAAUGCGUAGCCAGU